AUUUAUAAUUCUUUAUGUCCAAACGCCCACUAGGUUUCCUCCAUUUUGUUUGCAUAAUAAACUUUCGGAUUUUACAUUGCUUCUCAGAGAUCUCUUCAUCUUCCUCAAAUUGCUUCUAUCUACGGUUCUUGCGAUCCAUUUUGAUUGUCGUGUAUUGUGUUAUUCAAUAGCGCCGGAAGAUGAAUGGUUAUGGAGGAUCCAUCAAUACCUUCAUACUGAAACUUGUGAUUGGAUAAUAUACUUAUUCAGCAGACGGCCAUCUCACAUGAUCUAAUAAGAUCUAGGUACCUCCUACCAGUACAUGCACUAGUGAGACGAGGUCAGCUUCAGAGACUUUAAGGUAUACCUGCCGGCAUCCGCAGGCCUCAGAGUCACCCUUUAUCUAGUCUACUUCAUUUUCUUUCCCUUUUAUAGACAUUGUUGUAUAGGGAUGAUCAGUACUUAUUCGUAGAGCUUGUGACUUGUUUAUCACCGAAUUUUGGGAAGUUUGUUAUGCUAAAUUGCGAAAUUUCUUUUA